ACAGAAGGCUAAAGCCAUGAUGAGCCAACAGAACACAAGAACAAAACUAACAAAAGCAGGGUCAGACAUAGCUAGAUUCCACCGGAGCCUAGAGCAACAGUCCCUACCCAUCAAACUAGCUACUAAAAGGAAAUAAAACUAGACAGCAGAUGCAACAUGAGGUGGACAAGGCAAACCAUCCGAAGUUUACACCCCAACAAGAGACAAUGGUGGUCUGUCGACCCAACUUUGCAGUUCCAUAGCUCUGUUACCUAUCGACGCCGCUGCAUGAGCAGCACGAUUUGCACUCCUAGGCAACCAUGACCAAGUCACCUCUUCGAAGUUCGAAACCACAGCAUGUAUUUCGUCAAUAAGAGGGAGGAUAGUCCAGGAGUUGUUACCAUGAUUUCCAGUAAUGCCAUCUAUUAACACCUUGCAAUCUGUCUCCAAGAUGACUUUCAGACAACCCCUGUUUUUAGCAAGAUGUAAAGC
rnacentral:lncRNA from 1 species